UACGUAGGGUGCAAGCGUUGUCCGGAAUUAUUGGGCGUAAAGAGCUCGUAGGCGGUUUGUCACGUCUGCUGUGAAAUCCCGAGGCUCAACCUCGGGCCUGCAGUGGGUACGGGCAGACUGGAGUGCGGUAGGGGAGAAUGGAAUUCCUGGUGUAGCGGUGGAAUGCGCAGAUAUCAGGAGGAACACCGAUGGCGAAGGCAGUUCUCUGGGCCGCAACUGACGCUGAGGAGCGAAAGCGUGGGGAGCGAACAGG
rnacentral:rRNA from 1 species